rnacentral:rRNA from 1 species
UACGUAGGGCGCAAGCGUUGUCCGGAAUUAUUGGGCGUAAAGAGCUCGUAGGCGGUUUGUCGCGUCUGCUGUGAAAACCUAAGGCUCAACCUCGGACUUGCGGUGGGUACGGGCAGACUAGAGUGUGGUAGGGGAGACUGGAAUUCCUGGUGUAGCGGUGAAAUGCGCAGAUAUCAGGAGGAACACCGAUGGCGAAGGCAGGUCUCUGGGCCACUACUGACGCUGAGAAGCGAAAGCAUGGGGAGCGAACAGG